rnacentral:rRNA from 1 species
UGAGGAAUAUUGGUCAAUGGGUGCAAGCCUGAACCAGCCAUCCCGCGUGAAGGACGACUGCCCUAUGGGUUGUAAACUUCUUUUGUAUAGGGAUAAACCUACCCUCGUGAGGGUAGCUGAAGGUACUAUACGAAUAAGCACCGGCUAACUCCGUGCCAGCAGCCGCGGUAAUACGGAGGGUGCAAGCGUUAUCCGGAUUUAUUGGGUUUAACGGGUCCGUAGGCGGACUUAUAAGUCAGUGGUGAAAGCCUGUCGCUUAACGAUAGAACUGCCAUUGAUACUUUAAGUCUUGAGUAUAUUUGAGGUAGCUGGAAUAAGUAGUGUAGCGGUGAAAUGCAUAGAUAUUACUUAGAACACCAAUUGCGAAGGCAGGUUACCAAGAUAUAACUGACGCUGAGGGACGAAAGCGUGGGGAGCGAACA